CAUAUUCCUUUGUGGUAAACCGUACAUGAUACUGAAAGGAUCCAAUAGAACUUUGAAAUCCAUACUGUAAAUUAAAAGAUAUAGAAAUGGAGACCAGAGGCACGACUUGUUUGACACGGCACUGUUUGACAGAGCUUCUUAAAAGUAUCACUAGGAGAUGCUUUGAUUAAUUUGAAGUUGCUCGAGUAAAGAUGACAAUAUUAGGAAAACAUUGUUUUUCUAUUGAAUACAAAUAUUUGUACGUGUAUUAGUUAGAAUAAGAAUGAAAAGAUUUUAGAAAAAUUCAGAAAUAUGCAGCCAUUCGCUCGGUAGUCCUUACGUUAUAUGAUUUACAAUUAGAUAUCGAUAUAUCGCAAGUAUUACCGACCCAGGUCUCACCACGUGGAGGUUGCUGUAUCUGGAGACCCACGGGCUAACAUUGAAUCUAUUCUAAAAUCCACGUUCCACGAUCCCUCUUAGCUUUGGGAGCUUCAGGCUUCUUAACUAACAAAAGAUGUAUGAAACGGAUUAUUAAGCACGACCGUUGGUUUCCGAAUUUCGAACAAUAAAAGCGCAGUCCUCGGUAGUACUUUUAAUCACGUCCGUGCGACACUACGUGUGCGUUAAAGUAAUGCUUAUACUACUCUAAAUCCGCGUUCACGAGGUAAUCUAAUCGAAUUUUCAAGCAAAUGAAACAAAGUCCACGGUAGGACUAUUAAUCUCGCCCGAACAUCCACGUGAGUAUUAGAAAAACGAUGACUCCAAUUUAAAAUCCGCGGGUUCCUAGAGAAUCAGGCGAGCAAUCAAAUGAAGUUUAAUCUUUUAUAAAUACAAUCUGUGCGACUGUUAAAAAAGCAAUAAACUUUACGAACAAACACAGACUCUAAAGACUGCAUUACACGUAGUCGAUGCAAAAAUACUUGCAGCUUAAGUCGCGAAAUGCGAACGAACAAAUAUUACUUCCACUUCGUGAUAUUCUUAUUUUAGCGAUACAAAUACUCGAUUACAUCAUUGCUUAAAAUUAUUACUAUCACUGUUAUAAUAAGAAAUUGUAUAAAUUAUUGAAGAAACGGGCGAUGUAAAAAUAUACUUACAUUAAAUAUUUGUUGAUACUUGCAGCAAAGACAUCCUUCGAAUUUUACUCGUCAGACGACAAAGGAGAACUGAUCUAAGAAAUCGUCCAAGUCAAUAAAAAGAUCAUAUAUGUUGAUAUAAAAAAAAGACAAUAACCACGAGAUGAAUAUUUUAAAGUAUUGAAAUUUUUAAUUAAAAUUAUUUUAAAUUUCUUGUGUGUUACGAUCUUCGUAAUGUUUGUGCGAAUGUAUUAUUUUUUAAAUAUUAGUAUAUCGUAUUCCGUAUACAUUAAAGAUUGUUUAAAUAAUUGGAAUAUUAUCGAAAGUACAAUUUUAUAAUAUUUCACGUUUCUUAGAUUUUGCUUACAUACUUAGCAACGAGCGCGCGUAUAAAUUUUUAUUCCACUCAAAGCUCAUUAAAACGUCCGUACAAGUGAUGAACGGUAAAUGCAUAUGCGUUUAUUUGGAAAAGAAAAUUUCAUCAUAGAUUUACAUACAUAAAGAAGGAAACAAUCGUCUAUUUUACAAAAACAAAACACUCAAUAUUUAUUUGUAAAUCAUCAAUAGCAUGGUGAGAGGUUUGUCUCUUUUGCCGCAAAGUUUAGGGGCGCCACUAUAAAUGUCGAAAAAUGUCGAAAACUGCGAGUCCAGUCUUGAUUACAAUAUGUUCUCGUCCUAUGACACUUGGGUCUAUUCAAAUGUUUAUUCAAACGUUCAGACGUAGAAAAUUUGUUUCAAUUAUUUGAUGUUCGAUCCUGGUUGUCAUUUAUUUAGGUUAGAGCGAUUGGAUUAGGCUCGAAAAUGAUAUGGUUUUAAUAUAACUCGGUCACAAAUAACAUUGGAUAUUCAUGCAGCACAAAUAGAAAUAUGAUUACUAUGUAAUCAAACAAAUAGCUUUUAGAUAGAAGAGAUGCACAAAUAUAAAGGCAUUAAGUGCAGAAAGAAGUAAAUAUCCCAAUAAUAAAUCACAUAGACUGGUGCACUCUACCUUCCCAAUCCUGAAGCUGUUCGCAUGAAAUCAUCCGCAUGAGGUUGUGACCAGAGCAGCAAUAAUAACAUGUUAUUUAUGAUGCAUUUAAUGCAGGGAUAUCAGAAAAUAUAUCGAUGUUAAAAAAAAAAAUCCUGUUGGUUACUAUGAAUAUAUUUCUAAUAUAUAAAUAAUUAAUUACGCCUAGCAAGGAAAUAAAAGUACCCUCUUACCUGACGAGAGGCCCUAUUGUGCUAUCUUGUGGAAGUGAUUGCAGAAGCGAAGGUCCUGCCGAUACAGGUCGUAUCUAUAUUAAAAAGUGACGAAUUAACUUAUAUUAUUUAAUUACUACGUUCUGCAUCACGCACCGAAUAGAAAUAAAUAUACCUUUUCGGUUUGUGUGGCAGCAUUGCACAUGUCCACAAGUAAAGAUUUACUAAAAUUCGCUGACGGAAUGUUACUUUCCAUAUCUGCACCAUUCGAAGUUUUGAGUUUUGUCAUUUGAAACUGAAAUGUAAUAUAAAUUCAAUCAGUAGAAUGUUUUCUUGAUUAUAUCAAUGAAGUUAAAUAAAUAUUAAGCAGUAUAAAAUUUA